rnacentral:rRNA from 1 species
CACCGCGGUUAUACGAGAGGCCCUAGUUGAUGGACACGGCGUAAAGGGUGGUUAAGGUCCAAUACAAAUAAAGCCAAAAGACCUCUUGGCUGUCAUACGCCCCUGAGUUUCCGAAGCCCACGUACGAAAGUAGCUUUAAUAUUAUUCACCUGACCCCACGAAAGCUGAGAAA